UCCUCUCAAUAUUGAUUUGAGCGGCAAUAUACUCCUCACACGCCUCUUCCUUCCACAAUACGAUUCACAAACCCUAAUUCAUCAAUCGGCGCUCUUUUCCUCCCUAGGUUUCUUCCUCUGCCAGUUUGUUUUUCAUUAAUCGCCGCUCUUUUCCUCCCAGCAGUUCCUCCAUAACAACGAUCGUUACUUGAAUUCGUGUCGAUUUGUUCUCCUAUUCUGCUGUUUGGCAUCCAGAGAAGAUGGCUAAAACCCUCUUGGAAUCGGUCAGUCAUAACUAGAGUUCUUCAUCGAAUUCUAAGCAAAGAAACGCAGAUCUUUAUGUCCACCGUAUCGUGACUCUUUUUUUAGAAUUAAAUUCUACUAAAUUAAGGUAUCUUAAUGCGAUCUAUCAUCAUCCUAUAUCUGAUUCUCUCUUUUUUGCAUUUGUUUCCAUUUACAUGAACAUAAUUUGCAGAGUUAUUGGUUCAAUUAGGGUUUCAUGCAGUUGAAACUAAUUGUGUUACAUACAGUCUAAUUUAGCUUAAUAUCAACUACAAUAUAUUCAGUAUUUGGUUUCUUUCAAUGGAGUAUUUGAUUUCUUUCAAUGGACCUGUCAUUUAUUUAUGUUCUAAUAUUGGGUUUCUUUUAAUCGAUUAUAUAAACCUUUUUAUUUUUAUGAUUUCUUGAAUUUCAAUAUGAAUUUUGAUUAAAUUGUGUUGUUUUGCAAUAGCGUGAAUGAGGUUCUUCCACCCGCGGCGGAUUCCACUUUCGUUUAGGGUCACCGCCAGUCGGUGGUUUAGGUGGGCUAGGUGCAUCUAAUUGCAUCUAAUAGUGGACGGGCAUAUGCAAUUGUGGAUUCAUGUGAACAAAGUCCAUGGUGAUUUGUGUAAUGUUCGUAUGAGAAGAAUAUUCCUUUUGUUAUUUUUUAAGUAUUCUGGUUAUGUUUUGGUUGAGUUUUUAAAGAGCAUUUGAGUUACAUUACAGUGGUUCAAGUUGCCAUUAGCUUUCGAAACCUUAGAAAUUUAGAAAUUUUGCUCUGCUCUUGCAAAGGAAAAGUCUUUGUUAGUCUUGAUUAAUUGCACAAGCUUUGCCAAAAUGUUAAAUGAUGUUAACUUUUGUGUGGGGUGGCUAAGAAGGGUUAAAUGUCACAUGGAUAAUGGCGACUGCCAUUAUUGAAUGCAUUACUUGAUCCUUUUUUUCAUGUACCUUUAUGUUCUAUAGUGUGAAGUAGGUGGUGGAUGGCACAAAUACUAUUAAUUUUGGGUGUAGUAUAUAGCCAAUGGGUCAAUCCGAGGAAGCAGAGCUGAACGAAUUGAUGGCUGCCAUUCGGAAUCUAUCGCUCCAAUAUGCUAUUUUGAAGUGCAUCAAGAUAACGGAUAGGGGCUUGGAGCAUGUAAUCGUCAAAUGCUCUAUGCUCUGGUCUAAAGAGCCUAAAUUUUUAUGCAUUAAGAGACGACUUCCCGGUUGUAGUUGGUGGUUGAGCUAGGUUUCGGCAUUCAAGGCAACAGUGUAUUAUCAGAUGGCUUUGAAACUCCAAAUGGUAUAGCAAACGCAUCUUCCAUCGAAUGCCAGAAGCCAGUUCGGAGUAAUACUGUCUGAGUAACAUGAGUAGUGACACCUGUAUUUGUUUUUAUGGUUUUCGUUUUCAAUACGAGGUGGGUUCGAUACUUUUGCCCUAGCGAUAUUACCAGUACCACCAUAGCGAGGGCUUUUACACGUGCUUGCAUCACUAGCUUCAAGGAAUAUAAUUUUGUAAUUCGAUAGCCGAACGACAAUAUAUAUUUUAUUUACUUCUUGAAAAUAUCAUCGGCGAUGCAGGCUGUUAUCUACUUUUCCGAUUAUGUAGGUGCAUCAAGAUAACGGAUAGGGGCUUGGAGCAUGUAAUCGUUAAAUGCUCUAUGCUCUGGUCUAAAGAGCCUAAACUUUUAUGCACUAAGGUAUGGGGUUUGUGAAACUGAUAUUGUCUUUUGAUUUAAUGUCUAACUAUUUGAUUAACAUCAAGGUAUGUUAACCUGUAAUCCCAUAUUUGAUUAUAGUGUUUUUUUUGUGUGCGUUUUUGGUCAUUGAAAUACGUUCUUGAUGAAUUUGUUUGAUUAAAGUUUUUUUUUAAUCUUUCAUACCCAAGAAAUUGAAUGUUGUCGAAACUUCUAUUCGAUAAUGAAAACAAUAUGUUUUAUGGUUAAAAUUUGACAGUGUUCUUUGUUCGAUCUAAACAUGUAUGUUAUUCAUUCGUUUCUCACUUUAAAAUUUUUUAAGAUUCUGGUUUCUAUGUUCCCAGUUUGAUUCUUCUUUGGUAGAUUUUGGUGCAACCCCUUUCAUUCGAUAUUGGGAAAUCUUGGUGUUUGUUUAGGUUUUGCUGAACUAAACUACUAAUGUCGAGAAGUUGACCAAUAUCGGAUUUGCAGUAUGCGAUCUUACUCAGAUCAGGUUUAGAAUGUAAUAAGUCCUGGACAUGGCUUCACCCUUCCGGAUUCCCACCCCUAUUAAGAAGUAAGCAUUCAAUCGUCUCCCAUAAUGGCCAUGCUUUUAAGACCUAGGGAUGAUAAUCGGAGAGAUCCGGUGGUUAGCGCGACUGAAUGUCAAACAAUGGCAUCGUUAAGAAGCUUUCAGGUGGAUUGCUAGGUUUCCGACCGGUUUCCGCUCAACGUUCGAUUUUUUUUUUGUUUUGCAUUGAGGUUCAGGUGUUCUUGAAGAUCGUGAACAAUCAUUGAUUUGUUUCUUUACUCGUAUUUAUUUCUUUGCUUUAAUGUUAUUGCAGAAGGAUCCUAAUACAGCAUUGAGGAUGACAACGAGGCAGACUCUAAUGGAGGUGUGGAGGUAUGUAUGUUCCUCUUUAAAAGCAUAUACCAUUAUGCAACUAUAUAGCAAACUGGUACUUUUCGAGACUUUCAUAUCAGUGGAAUUUACAGGGGCGAAUUGGUUAUCGGGCGAGAACUGGUUGGGUUUAAAUGUCAACUUUUUUUUUACAUGUGAGGUUGUUAGUUUUUUCUAAACAACUUUGUAGCGUCUAAAAUUAUAAGCUAUGAUUACAAAAACCCUCUCAUUUGUAUGAUAAUGUAGUUUUUUGAAUAAAAUAAUUUACUAAAUUUUAUGCAAACUCUGGACUUUUUUUUUCCUUUCUAGCUUCUAAGAGAGAAAACAUAAAACAUAAUUUUAAACAACCCAUUUCUGAGUAAAUGGGUUGAAAGUGCUACCUAUAUUGGAUUACAUUUAUAAAUGCAAAAUUUCAAACAUACCCCUCAUUAAACGGUGUUUUUAACUAAGUUAGUCAUUUGGAUGAAAACGGCAAAAAAUGCCAAACGUGGGGGGCAAAAUGGUACAAAAAGGUCAUUUUGGACGAAAAUGGCAAACGUGUCCAAACCUCAGUUGCCUGUUUGUAGGAAUUUAAGAAACACGAUGGAAGGAUCACCUGACGCUAAUCACGCUAUUAGACGUGUUGCUUCAUUGCCCGUCUUGCUAUGUCAUGGAGUCGGUGAAAGGAACAAAGGAGAUGGCCACACCUUCUUAGAAAAUUAGAUGAAAAUCUAUAUACCCUUGAAAAUUGUUGGUACCUUUGCUCCUUUUAAUGUUCAUCUUCUCCGCGCUUUGCGAGGCGUGUUUUAUGUCAGUACCGGUUCGGUUCGUUACUUUAUCGGUACGAUGCCGACACUCAGUAUAGCAACUGACCAUCAGUUGAAAACCAUAAAAAUGCAUGUCGAUACUGGGUUUUUAGGGAUUUUUAAUAGCUUUGGUUUGAAGAAACAGAAUGCUCUUCAUUUAUUACAGGAAUAAGUGAAACCCCAAGGCUAAAUACACCCUUUAUUUCGUUGUCUUUGUGGUUUGUAACACAACCAGUCUAUUAAUUAUUGUUACGAAAAGACUAACCAAAAUGGUUUCUUUUACAUAUGUUGAUUUAUAGUUUUAUUUAUAAGUUUUGGUGCUUAGUGAUGGUUCGGGUCGGAUCAUGGAUAAACUUUGUCAACAACAUUCGACUACGGUCAAUCACAGUCAAGAGUGGUCCAUCUGAAGGUUGUUAUAGUUAAUAUCAUCGUAGGCACUCAUGUAUGGGCAGAAGACCUAGCAGUUGUUGAGUGGUGGAGGUUGCGACCAGUUUUGUUGGUGAUCACCAACGUUACAACCUUCUGAAUAGGAAAUCAUCAAAAGGGUCAUCAUCAAACAAACAAUAACCCAUUAAAAAUGUAUAACCAAUUUUUUUACAUAUAGGAUCAUGCUAAAUGAGAUAUUAUAGAAGGUAGAAGACCAGAAGUCCAGUAAAGGUGAAAAUCAAGAUGCCAUCUUAGGUGCACAUUGCUUGGGUCAAGUCUUUGACGCAUAUCGCAAUUUCUUUUUAAUGUAAUAUGCAAUUAAGAAGGUAGAAGAUCAGAAGUUCAUUAAGAUUUAUGAAUAUAAAUAUGUUUGUGAGUUAUAAUUUUACUUUAAAUUUUUUUCCUUAUUUAAUGUAAAAUAUGUAAUUUCACACACUUAUGUAUAUUAUAUAAUGGAUUCUAAACA